UACAGAGACUGCAAGCGUUAUUCGGAUUCACUGGGCGUAAAGGGUGCGCAGGCGGCCAAGUGGUGUGAGGCGUGAAAGCCCCGAUGCUUAACAUCGGAAUUCGCACCUCAAACUACAUGGCUAGAGCAAUUGGAGAGGGUAGCGGAAUUCACGGUGUAGCAGUGAAAUGCGUAGAUAUCGUGAGGAACACCAGAGGCGAAGGCGGCUACCUGGACAAUUGCUGACGCUCAGGCACGAAAGCGUGGGAGCAAAAGGG
rnacentral:rRNA from 1 species